UAUAACUAUGCUGAAUGAAAGAGAUACAUUCAAAACAGUACAUACCAUAUGAUUGUAUUUACAUAAAUCGCUAGAAAAAUGCAAACUAAUCUAUGUUGACAGAAAGCAGAUCAGAAGUGCAGAGAGAGACAGAAGGGAGUGAUGAAAUUCAAGUACAUGAGAGAGAGCUCUGUGAAGUGCCUCAGAUCCGCUUCCAUCUCUUCCAUCGUAAGGUCGUUCGUCAGACCCCAGCAGCCAAAAUGGUGAAGCAGGUCGAGAGCAAGUAUGCUUUUCAGGAAGCCUUGAACAGUGCAGGAGAUAAACUGGUAGUAGUUGACUUCUCAGCUACAUGGUGUGGGCCUUGCAAAAUGAUCAAGCCUUUCUUUCAUUCUCUCUCUGAAAACUAUUCCGCGGUGGUGUUCCUUAAAGUAGAUGUCUAUGACUAUCAGGACGUUACUUCAGAGUGUGAAGUCAAAUGCAUGCCAGCCUUCCAGUUUUUUAAAAAGGGGCAAAAGGUGGGUGAAUUUUCUGGAGCUAAUAAGGAAAAAUGUGAAGCCACCAUUAAUGAAUUAAUCUGAUCAUGUUUUCUGAAGACAUGACCAGCCAUUGGCUAUUUAAAACUUGUAGUUUUUUAAAAAUUAUUAUUUACAGAAAGGAAAGAUCAAGUAUGAAAACUAUAUACUUGACUGCCAUCUGAUAAGUGACAAUAAAAUAUUAACUGUACCCUUAAAAAAAAGUACAUGAGAAAAGUUUUAGGGGUCAUGUUUAUGUUCAGUGUCUUGAUUGUGUGCGGUGAUGGUUUCAUGAAUAUUUACAUAAGUCAAAACUAACAUGUAUUACUAAUCCUAUGUUACAGAUUAAAAAUUGAGGCCCACAGAAAUUACAUGAAUUACCCAAAGCCAUAGUUAGUAAGUACCAGAGCCAGGAUUUAUGAAGUUCCAGAAACUUUACCCUUUCUGCUACAAAUCCUGAUUCUACCAUGGAAAACUGAGAGUUGACUUCAAAUUUGUCUGUUCCUUGGACUUUAUGGCAUCAAAUUAAGUGAAGGGAAAAAAUGGUUUUUUUAAAUGUCUAUGACUCAUUCUUAAUGUAGCCUUUCUACAGUAAUUAAAUUUUCAUAGAGCUAUUUCAUGACUUUAUUAUUAGGCCUUGUGAUUUUUCAAUUCUUUGAGAAUCAGUAGAAUUAUUUUGAUACUUGCUUGUUUCCAAAUAUUAAAAGCUAAAUGAUUUAAGCCCUUUUGCUCAAUGAGUUAGAACAUAAUCUUGGUAUUGAUCACCGUACAAUUCUAUUGACCAUCCCCAGAAAAACCCAGCCCAAAGCUAAAACUAAUGCUACUCGUGGCUUACAUUUGGGUUAUUAUGUUCUUUAAUUGUGAAAAACAAUACAAGUUUAUAGUCUGGUUCUAUGCGACCCUGAAAAAAAUUGAAUAGGAAAAAUUUUUAUAGCUCCUUUCACUCAUCUAAAAGUUAAGAUGUUAUGUUUUCUCAUAGGGUGCAUCUAUUCAUUUGCUAACUCCUUUGUUCAUGUCACAAGCAUUUAUUAAAUGCUUCCUCCAUGCCAGGCAUCAUUCUAGGGAGACAGUGAUACACAAGACAGAUGAAAUGUUUGCCCCAUAGAGACUCUAUUCUAGUGGGGAGGAAUGGACAACCAAACAAUGAAACAGUAAUAACUGCUGAUGAGAAGAUAUACAGGAUAUCCUGAUAGAGGGUUGGGGAAUGUUGAGGUGGGGUAGUAAUUUGGACAGAAUGAACAUUAGGUCUUUCGGCGGAGGUGAUGUCUCAGCCAGGACCUGGACUAUGAGAAGGAGCCAGCCAUUUGAAAAGCUCUAAGAACUACUUUCCAGACAGAUGCAACAGAGCUAGAGGCAGGAAUGACCUUGGGAGGUACCAGGAACAGAAAGAAGAUGUUGCUACAACAUAGUGUGUAAGUCCAGAAAAGGAGGCAAGGGUCAGAUCUUGAGGAUUUUAAAUAUACUUUAAGUUAUGAUCAGUUUCCUCUGAAAAAACAUUAGUGAUAUUACUAUAUUUGCUUUAGAAAUAGCCUUAUUUCCCUAGCACCACAGAGAGAAACAUAUAUUAUCAUGAAAUUUUAAGAAUUUAAAAGUUCCUUAAAAAUUACCUAGUUCAACCCCUUCAUUUUACAGGUAAGGGAAUUUUAGCUCAGAAAAGUUGAGUGACUUGUAGGAGGUAACUCAGCAAGCUUGGACAGGGUUGGAUUUGAGCUCAGGUUUCAGUAUUGCAUGGUCUAAUGCUCUUUCCAGAAAACAGUUUUUAAGAAAACAUUAAAAAUGUUUUUAAAUUUAUGGCAUUACUAUGGCUCUCCUAUUUUCCAUUAGAUUUUUUAAGAAAAAUAAGUAACUAUGAUUUAUUGUUACCAAUAAUAUAUACCAGUGUUUAGAUGUAGUUAAUUGAUUUAGAUUUGGAUUGUACAUGUUUUUUAAAUCAUUGACCAAAUUCUUAUAACUAUUAAAGCAGAAUUAUAAAGAUGUUGGCUUAGUAUCUUUCAUUUCACUUUCAUUGUACCAUCUGCUUAGGUUCUUAACCUGGUGUUCUUACAUCCUAAGGGAUCCACAAAUGGACUUUUAGGUUCUGCCAACCCUCUGAAAGGUGCAUAGCAUUGUACAUACUUGUGAAUAUCUUUUUGGGUCCUCCAAGAAACAGACAUCCAGACAGGAUUAGAUAAGCUCAAUUUAUGGAGAAAUCCCCGUGGAAGAUAAAAGAGAGGGAGCAGGAAUAAACAGCAAUGAGUCCACAAUGCAAGACUGACAUCUGUGAAGGGAGGAAGGGAAAGAAAGAUUGGGUAGAAAGUCUCAGAAUGCAGAGCAGUUCCAAGAAAGGCUCAGCCAGGCUGGUGGGGAGUCCCCAGGACAAGUUGCUCAUUGGAAGCAUUCUGUGUCGGGCAGAAAAGCACUGGCACUAGUAUCUCUGCCAUGCUCAGUUACCGGUUCCAAGCAGCCCCAGGGGAAGUGAGGUUUUGCUGUGAACACUGGCCUAGAUCCAAGGGUGCAGUAGCUGGGGCUGUCCAUCAACUCUGCUCCUAGCAGGAGUUCUCUGGAUGGCGAUUAGAGCAGGGUACUUCCAGGGCCAUCACACCAUACUUAUGUGCAUUCCUUUGGGGAAA